UUCUCUGUACCCACCACAGCCGUCACCGCCACUACUACUACUUCUACACCUACCAUCUCCACCACUACCAUCACCACCUCUACCACUAGUGCUACUACUGCUACUAUCGUUGGCAUAUCUGUCAUGGCCUCAACAACAUCAACAAUGCACGGCCGAGAUGUAGUGACGAUGGUACAGACUCAUGUUGAUGAUGACAAUGAUAAUAUUGAUUGGUGCGGCUUGUACAAGGAUACCCAGGCGAAAUACCUCACCCUCAAGGGACUCUCUGCUAAAGUUGCUGAUACAUACGAGGAUGUAUUUGUCAAGUACCGAGCAUGUCAAGAGGAUAGAGGAAAACUUAUCCGAGCGAAAACUUCACUUGAAGAUAAGUUCGAAGAUCUCACUAAAUUAUUGGAACCAGUGUGGAAGGAAUACCAAUUUCUGAAAGCCAAAUAUCAAAUUGAAUCAGAUUGUCGACAAGAAGCUGAAAAAUAUGCAUCUAAAGUGACCAAAGAAAACAAAGAAUUGCGUCGGAAGAGCCAGGAUUUGCUGUCUAAACUAGAUUUAAAUGCAGACCUUCGUGUGUUUGAAAUUGAUAUAGAGAAGGAAGAUGGUGGUCAACAGAAUGAGGAAUCAGAGGAGAGGAUCCAUUACCAGAAUCAACUGGAAGAUCUACAGAAUAAAGUGGCUGAAAUGAAGUUAAAGAAUGCUGAACUCCAAGAGGAACAGAACAACCGAGAAGAGGAGAAUCGAGAAACCAAAGAGAGGUUAGUUACUGUUGAAAAAGACAACAAAGAAAUGAAAGAAGCGCUGAAACAAUACAGAGAGACUUUGGAAGAAUUCCGAAGAGUUUAUGAAAGUUCCUAUGAAGAAUAUGAAGACAUACGCAAAAAAUACAAUGAAGAACGACAGUGUCGUAAUGAAGCAGAACAAUAUGCGAAGAAGUUGCACCAUGAGACAGAGGUGAUAAAGAGACAAAGUAGAAUCUUACUGUGUCAAGAUUUUGGUGAUGAACGUCUACAGAAGGCCUUGGAUGACAUUGAGCUGUUGAACCGAGAACUUCUGGAGCUGAAGGAUGAAACAGAGAAAGAGGUCACCAGUUUAAAGGCAGAAAUAGAGUUGUACAAAUCAAGCGAAGGCAACAUUAAAAUAAUCAAGAAGAACAAGGAACUGGAAGAACAGAACAACAGUUUGGAAAACAAUUUGGUCCAGCAGCGGGAGCAGUAUGAGAGUCUUAGUAAGAAAUAUAGCGAUCUGGAAAAAAUCUAUGAGGACAGCAAACGGCCACCUCCGCCGCCACCACCACCGCCUCCACCACCACUACCACCUCAGAACUCCAAGGGGUUCCUGGCAAGAUGGAAGAAAAAGAAAGCUCGAGUGUCAAAGACUGAAGAAGAAAAUACUACCACAGUCAAAGAAGAUCUCCACAAGAAAGCUCUUGAAGAAAUGAUGAGUCGCAUCAGAGAUGGAAGAGGUCUGACUGGAGCAAAGAUGAGACGGCCAUCUUGCCAAGAUAAACCAAAGGACGAAGCUAUUGAUGAAUUAAAGAAUUUAAUGACCAAGAUGAAACGUACCAAAAGUGACGGUAACUUGUUGGUGAAGAGUACGGCCUCUCAGGAAUUAAACGAACUGACCGCUGUGUUUCGGAAAAUACGUAUGAAAAGUACAAACUCAUUAGAGAAGAAUGAAGAGACAUCAGAACAGAAUUCAGUCUCAAACGAUUGAAAACUUAAUGAUAAAACUGAAAAAAUCUUCAUAAACAGCAUAUCACUGGGGAUGAUGAUGAUGAGGAUGACAAUGAUGAUGAUGAUGAUG
rnacentral:misc_RNA from 1 species